GCAAGGGGAGCGGCAGACGGGAUAGUAACACGUGGGAACGUACCCUUCAGUUCGGAACAACCCAGGGAAACUUGGGCUAAUACCGAAUACGUCCGUAAGGAGAAAGAUUUAUCGCUGAAGGAUCGGCCCGCGUCUGAUUAGCUAGUUGGUGAGGUAAUGGCUCACCAAGGCGACGAUCAGUAGCUGGUCUGAGAGGAUGAUCAGCAUCACUGGGACUGAGACACGGCCCAGACUCCUACGGGAGGCAGCAGUGGGGAAUAUUGGACAAUGGGCGCAAGCCUGAUCCAGCCAUGCCGCGUGGAUGAUGAAGGCCUUAGGG
rnacentral:rRNA from 1 species